rnacentral:rRNA from 1 species
GACGAACGCUGGCGGCGUGCCUAAUACAUGCAAGUAGAACGCUGAAGGAGGAGCUUGCUUCUCUGGAUGAGUUGCGAACGGGUGAGUAACGCGUAGGGAACCUGCCUGGUAGCGGGGGAUAACUAUUGGAAACGAUAGCUAAUACCGCAUAAGAGUAGAUGUUGCAUGACAUUUGCUUAAAAGGUGCAAUUGCAUCACUACCAGAUGGACCUGCGUUGUAUUAGCUAGUUGGUGGGGUAACGGCUCACCAAGGCGACGAUACAUAGUCGACCUGAGAGGGGGAUCGGCCACCCUGGGACUGGGACACGGCCCAGACUCCUACGGGAGGCAGCAGUAGGGAAUCUUCGGCAAUGGACGGAAGUCUGACCGAGCAACGCCGCGUGAGUGAAGAAGGUUUUCGGAUCGUAAAGCCCUGUUUUAAGAGAAGAACGAGUGUGAGAGUGGAAAGUUCACACCGUGACGGUAUCUUACCAGAAAGGGACGGCUAACUACGUG